CCUACGGGGGGCAGCAGUAGGGAAUAUUGCGCAAUGGAGGAAACUCUGACGCAGCGACGCCGCGUGGGUGAUGAAGGAUUUCGGUUCGUAAAGCCCUUUUGUCAGGAAAAAUGUACCUGAAGAAUAAGCACCGGCUAACUUCGUGCCAGCAGCCGCGGUAAUACGAAGGGUGCAAGCGUUGCUCGGAAUUAUUGGGCGUAAAGCGAGCGCGGGUGGUCUCUUAAGUCAGAAGUGAAAGCCCUGGGCUCAACCCAGGAAGUGCUUUUGAUACUGGGAGACUUGAAUGUGGGAGAGGGUGCUAGAAUACCUAGUGUAGUGGUGAAAUACGUAGAUAUUAGGUGGAACACCGGUGGGGAAGCCGGGUACCUGGCCCAAAUGACACUUAGGCUCGAAAGCGUGGGGAUCAAACAGGAUUAGAUACCCUUGUAGUC
rnacentral:rRNA from 1 species